rnacentral:rRNA from 1 species
CCUACGGGUGGCAGCAGUGAGGAAUAUUGGUCAAUGGACGAGAGUCUGAACCAGCCAAGUAGCGUGAAGGAUGACUGCCCUAUGGGUUGUAAACUUCUUUUAUAUGGGAAUAAAAUGUUCCACGUGUGCGAUUGUUAAUGUACCAUAUGAAUAAGGAUCGCCUAACUCCGUGCCAGCAGCCGCGGUAAUACGGAGGGUGCGAUCGUUGUCCUGAAUCAUUGGGAGGAAAGGGUACGUAGGCGGCAUGUAAAGUCAGGUGUGAAAGGCGCAGGCUCAACUUGUGCACUGCACUUGAUACUUGCAAGCUGGAAUGCGGUAGAGGUAAGGUGAAGUCCUGGUGUAGCGGUGAAAUGCUUAGAUAUCAGGAGGAACAUCGGUGGCGGAAGCGCUUUACUGGGCCGUAAUUGACGCUGAGGAACGAAAGCCAGGGUAGCAAAUGGGAUUAGAUACCCCUGUAGUC